GCGGGGACUGCGUGCUGGCUCCGUCGGCGGCACUGGUUCCCACACUGAAGACGGGGGCUCCAGGUGGGAUCCAUAAGACACAGGAUGAUGACAUCAUAUGACAUAUGAUGACAGGAGCUGUAGCAGCCCGAGUCAAGGAUGAACAUCAUAUCUGGAGGAUGAUAGCAUCAUCUGAUCUUUGAUCUGUUACAAGAUCUUUCACAUUGGAGCAUAGUUACUUGCCUCAUUAUUUUCCAUACAUUUUACUCCGCGAUGUGAAGCGAGAGACUGUCUCAUUCCAA